UACGUAGGGGGCGAGCGUUGUCCGGAUUCAUUGGGCGUAAAGCGCUUUAAGGCGGUUCGCUAAGUCGCGUGUGAAACCUCCAGGCUCAACCUGGAGACGCCACGCGAUACUGGCGUGACUAGAGUUCGGUAGGGGAUCACGGAAUUCCUGGUGUAGCGGUGAAAUGCGCAGAUAUCAGGAGGAACACCGGUGGCGAAGGCGGUGAUCUGGGCCGACACUGACGCUGUAGAGCAAAAGCGUGGGGAGCGAACAGG
rnacentral:rRNA from 1 species